rnacentral:rRNA from 1 species
GACGAACGCUGGCGGCGUGCUUAACACAUGCAAGUCGAGCGGUAAGGCCCUUUCGGGGGUACGACGAGCGGCGAACGGGUGAGUAACACGUGGGUGACCUGCCCUCAGCUCUGGGAUAAGCCUGGGAAACUGGGUCUAAUACUGGAUAUGACUCCACGGUGCAUGUCGUGGGGUGGAAAGCCUUGUGCGGCUGAGGAUGGGCCCGCGGCCUAUCAGCUUGUUGGUGGGGUGAGGCCUACCAAGGCGACGACGGGUAGCCGGCCUGAGAGGGCGACCGGCCACACUGGGACUGAGACGCGGCCCAGACUCCUACGGGAGGCAGCAGUGGGGAAUCUUGCGCAAUGGGCGAAAGCCUGACGCAGCGACGCCGCGUGAGGGAUGACGGCCUCGG